UACGGGGGGGGGCAAGCGUUGUUCGGAAUUACUGGGCGUAAAGGGCUCGUAGGCGGCCAACUAAGUCGGAUGUGAAAUCCCCAGGCUUAACCUGGGAACUGCAUCCGAUACUGGAUGGCUUGAAUUCGGGAGAGGGAUGCAGAAUUCCAGGUGUAGCGGUGAAAUGCGUAGAUAUCUGGAGGAAUACCGGUGGCGAAGGCGGCAUCCUGGACCGACAUUGACGCUGAUGAGCGAAAGCUAGGGGAGCAAACGGGG
rnacentral:rRNA from 1 species